CCCGCUGAACUUAAGCAUAUCAAUAAGCGGAGGAAAAGAAACCAACAGGGAUUGCCCUAGUAACGGCGAGUGAAGCGGCAAUAGCUCAAAUUUGAAAUCUGGCCUUCAGGUCCGAAUUGUAAUUUGUAGAGGAUGCUUUGAAUAUAGACUUGGUCUAAGUUCCUUGGAACAGGAUGUCAUAGAGGGUGAGAAUCCCGUAUGCGACCAGGUGUCUCUAUUCAUGUAAAGCUCCUUCAACGAGUCGAGUUGUUUGGGAAUGCAGCUCAAAAUGGGUGGUAAAUUUCAUCUAAAGCUAAAUAUUGGCUAGAGACCGAUAGCGCACAAGUAGAGUGAUCGAAAGAUGAAAAGCACUUUGGAAAGAGAGUUAAAUAGUACGUGAAAUUGUUGAAAGGGAAGCGCUUGCAAUCAGACUUGCAUGCAGUUGAUCAUCUGAUGUUCUCACCAGUGCACUCAAUUGCAUUCAGGCCAGCAUCGGUUUUGGUGGUUGGAUAAAGACCUUGGGAAUGUGGCUUCCUUCGGGAAGUGUUAUAGCCCAAGGUGCAAUGCAGCCUACUAGGACCGAGGACCGCGCUUUGGCUAGGAUGCUGGCGUAAUGGUUGUAAGCGACCCGUCUUGAAACACGG
rnacentral:rRNA from 1 species